UACAGAGGUCCCAAGCGUUGUUCGGAAUUACUGGGCGUAAAGCGUGCGCAGGCGGCGCGUUAAGACAGGUGUGAAAGCCCCGAGCUUAACUUGGGAAUUGCGCUUGUGACUGGCGUGCUGGAGUGUGGCAGAGGGAGGUGGAAUUCCACGUGUAGCAGUGAAAUGCGUAGAGAUGUGGAGGAACACCGAUGGCGAAGGCAGCCUCCUGGGCCAGCACUGACGCUCAUGCACGAAAGCGUGGGGAGCAAACAGG
rnacentral:rRNA from 1 species